UACGGGGGGGGCAAGCGUUGUUCGGAAUUAUUGGGCGUAGAGAGCUCGUAGGCGGUGUGUCACGUCGGCCGUGAAAACCUGCAGCUUAACUGUGGGCGUGCGGUCGAUACGGGCAUCACUGGAGUUCGGCAGGGGAGACUGGAAUUCCUGGUGUAGCGGUGAAAUGCGCAGAUAUCAGGAGGAACACCGGUGGCGAAGGCGGGAUCCUGGGCCAGUACUGACGCUGAGGAGCGAAAGCGUGGGGAGCAAACAGG
rnacentral:rRNA from 1 species